UGCAUUCACUACUGUAAGUUGCUCUGGAUAAGAGUGUCUACUAAAUGACAAAAA
rfam:Salmo salar isolate Sally breed double haploid chromosome ssa09, whole genome shotgun sequence.